rnacentral:rRNA from 1 species
UACAGAGGGCCCGAGCGUUAAUCGGAUUUACUGGGCUUAAAGGGUGCGUAGGCGGAUGCGUAAGUGUCCUGUGAAAUCCCAUGGCUCAACCAUGGAACGGCAGGGCAGACUGCGUGUCUUGAGGUCGGUAGAGGUUGUCGGAACUCUAGGUGUAGCGGUGAAAUGCGUAGAUAUCUAGAGGAACGCCAAAGGUGAAGACAGGCAACUGGGCCGAAUCUGACGCUGAGGCACGAAAGCGUGGGUAGCGAAC